rnacentral:rRNA from 1 species
UAAGGGGUGGGCAAGCCUGGUGUCAGCCGCCGCGGUAAUACCAGCACCCCGAGUGGCCGGGACGAUUAUUGGGCCUAAAGCAUCCGUAGCCGGUUCUACAAGUCUUCCGUUAAAUCCAACUGCUUAACAGUUGGGCUGCGGAGGAUACUAUAGAGCUAGGAGGCGGGAGAGGCAAGCGGUACUUAGUGGGUAGGGGUAAAAUCCGUUGAUCCACUGAAGACCACCAGUGGCGAAGGCGGCUUGCCAGAACGCGCUCGACGGUGAGGGAUGAAAGCUGGGGGAGCAAACCGGAUUAGAUACCCGGGUAGUCCCAGCUGUAAACGAUGCAGACUCGGUGAUGAAUAGGCUUCGUGCCUAUUCAGUGCCGCAGGGAAGCCGUUAAGUCUGCCGCCUGGGGAGUACGGUCGCAAGACUGAAAUUUAAAGGAAUUGGCGGGGGAGCACCACAAGGGGUGAAGCCUGCGGUUCAAUUGGAGUCAACGCCGGGAAUCUUACCGGGGGCGACAGCAGAAUGAAGGUCAAGCUGAAGACUUUACCAGACAAGCUGAGAGGAGGUGCAUGGCCGUCGCCAGCUCGUGCCGUGAGGUGUCCUGUUAAGUCAGGUAACGAGCGAGAUCCCUGCCUCUAGUUGCUACCAUUAUUCUCCGGAGUAGUGGGGCUAAUUAGAGGGACUGCCGUCGCUGAGACGGAGGAAGGAGGGGGCUACGGCAGGUCAGUAUGCCCCGAAACCCUCGGGCCACACGCGGGCUGCAAUGGUAAGGACAAUGAGUUCCUAUUCCGAAAGGAGGAGGUAAUCUCCAAACC